rnacentral:misc_RNA from 1 species
GAUGAAGAACGUAGCGAAAGGCGAUACGUAAUGUGAAUUGCAGAAUUCAGUGAAUCAUCGAAUCUUUGAACGCAUAUUGCGCUCUCUGGUAUUCCGGAGAGCAUGCUUGUUUGAGUAUCAGUAACCACCUCAACUUCCAUAUCUUUUUUGAAAUGGGAGUUGGACUUGAGUGAUCCCAACGCUUUUCCUCACCGAAAAGUGGCGGGUUACUUGAAAUGCAGGUGCAGCUGGACUUUUCUCUGAGCUAUAAGCAUAUCUAUUUAGUCUGCCUAAAAAUCAGAUUAUUACCUUUGCUGCAGCUAACAUAAAGGAGAUUAGUUCUUGUGCUGACUGAUGCAGGAUUCACAAAGACAGGCUUCGGCCGACUUUGUAAACUCGAUCUCAAAUCAAGUAAGACUACCCGCUGAACUUAAGCAUAUCAAUAAGCGGAGGA